CUGAAGCAAGACAAGACAUCUGCAGCCAUCAUAUACCUAGAACCUUUUUCUGAAGCAUGAUGUGAUGUGAUAGUUGCACUAAUAAUAAGAGCAUUGAUAACAGUGAGGUCGUAGUAGCUAACUUUGCAGGCAUGAUUAAUUCGUAAUGGAGAUCGAGGCUGAUUAUUUAGUCUCGUUCCUGGCCAUACCCAUACCCAUACUUGCACACACACCCAUCAUGGUCAUGGGACCAUGAAGUCAUGGUCCUCAUCGAUAGGGGGUGGAUUCAUUCCAGCCCGUCAAAACUGACCACCCAAGUAGACUAGACCAGGAAACCUCGGUUCGUUCAAAAAAUAAAGUCAGGAUUCACAAUCAAACCACCAAGAGGAAAGAACAAGAGACUCCGGGUCCGGCUUGGCGCCAGAUGGAGUAAACAAGAACAGACAAAGUUCCAUCCUCUAUUUUUUUCCUUUACUACAGAACCAAAAUUUGCCGAAAAAGGCUUUCGCCCCGCUUUAUACAUAAAGCAUCGGCCAUACAAACACACCGAUACAAACACACGUCACCACCGCACACGACACACACCAAGGCAAAAUACAAAGGUGCCAAGCACCACCACGCCACCCCAACGACUACCAAACAACAUGAAUUGCUUGGAGCCAACAGAGACCUCCAUCGCAAUUUUCCGAGGAGAGGCGAGGCGGAUAACGACGGAGCAGGGACUCUAGGACGGUGCCUCCAGAAGGGCACGACUAUGGGUAGCCGCCACCGUCCGAUCCCGAAGAUCAAGUUUUCACCUGGAGCAUCACGAAGGAGUGGGAACACCGCGACGGAGCCUUCAUGAAGGAUACGGCGUCCACGGACGUCGCCACCGUCGGCCCUUGAGCAAGUGGUGUACCCCGGCGCUCACACCCCUCCAACACACCCUACCUCCGCCAACCACCCGCAACCAAACCACUCGUGUGGCCAGAACCAAAAUUUAGCAACUAAAUUGUUCCAGUUCGGAGUUUUGAGAGAUUUUUUUUUCUAUGAUUUCUAGAGGUCGACUAGCACAAAGCCGUGUUCCACACCUACAAAAGACAAACAACAGUCACCAUGGCCACCGACGUGUGGGCCCAUCGAGCUGUGUUAGUUACAAAACAGUGUUGCCACUUGUGCUUAGGUGGUGGUGCUGAGCAGGAAAAAAAACUGUGGUACACAGGUGCAGCUGCCCUCCCAGCCUAUAAAACCCCACCCACAUCUCCUUCCUCUUCCAAUCCUACAUCUUCCCAAAGCCGGUCACAGGAGAGCAGAGCAGAAUCCUUGGAGAGUAUCUUCUUCUUCCAUAGUAACCCACUCCACCCUUUGCCAAGAUGUACAACGCUCCGUCGGGGCAGGAGAUGUCCUACACGGAGCACGUGCAGAAGCGCCACGAGGAGAAGGGCUGCAUCUAUGCAUGCGUGUUCACGGCGUUGUGCUGCUUCUGCUGCUACGAGACCUGCGAGUGCUGCCUCGACUGCCUCUGCUGCUGCUGCAACUAAAACAGCCAUGGCCGCCAUGGACGGACGGAGGCUGCAAGGCGGAGCGGAUAUCCACCGGCCUCCGCCGCCUUUCAUAAUAAGCAUAUGUGUCUAGUGCCUUAGCUCGAUGAGAACUGUAUCAGAUGUUGCUGUAUUAUUAUUGUCCAGGACAAGACUAUCAUUGUAAUCACCGAUUAUGGUUUGUGUUGCAUCUUUUUUUUUGCCGGGGGUUUGUGUUG